AGACUCAGUCAGCUGUUGGGGAUCAGAGGCCGCACUCAUCGUAGCAGAGAGGCAGGACCAGCUGGGAGAGGGUCCUUCUGUGACACCGACGGCAUCACCGGGCUGUGGGAAGUGACUCAGCUGCCAGAACUCACACAAUAUCAUUCUGCACCAAAACCUCAUGGGAAAAAUGCUCCACGACCCUCAGACUUAAACAGCAGCACUGGCUCCUCCCCAGAUCUCCAGCUCCCUGACCCUCAAACUCCAACUCCAGCACCAGCUCCACCUGGGUCUCCAGCUCCACCAUCCUCAAACUCCAACAGCAGCACCAGCUCCCGCGUGGAUCUCCAGCUCAAUGACUCUCAGACUUAGGAGGCAGCACCGGUUCCCCACCAAGACUCCAGCUCCACAACACUCAAACUAGAACAGCAGCACCGGCUACUCCCUGGCUCUCCAGCUCCCUCAAACUUCAACGAUAGCACUGGCUGUUCCCCGGGACCACCAGCUCCACAACCCCCAACUUACACGGUGGUAGCACCAGCUCCUCCCUAGGUCUCCAGCUCCACGACCAUCAAACUUGAACUGCAAUACCAGCUCCUCUUCGGCCUCCAGCUCCACAAUCCGCAAACAACAACAGCAACACCUGCGCCUCCCUGAAUCUCCAGCUCAACAACUCUCAGACUUGAGAGGCAGCACCGACACCUCCCCAAGGCUCCAGCUCCACAACCCUCAGAUUUGAACAGCAGUAGCACCACCUCCUGUCUGGGUCUCCAGCUUCACGAUCCUUAAACUGGAACAGCAGCACCGCCGCCUCCCUGGGUUUCCAGCUCCACGACCCUAAAACAUGAAUGACAGAACCAGGUCACCCCCAGGGCUCCAGCUCCAAGAACCACAGAUUUAAACGGCAGCCCCGGCUCUUCCCAGGAUCUCCAACUCCAUGGCCCUCAGACUAGAUCAGCAGCACCGGUUCCUCCCUGGGUCUCCCUCCAGCUCCACAAUCCUCAGACAUGAACAAUAGCACCGGCUCCUCCCUGGGUCUCCAGCUCCACAAUCCUCAGACAUGAAUAAUAGCACCGGCUCCUCCUUGGGUCUCCAGCUUCACGACCCUCAGACUAGACCAGCAACACCGGUUCCUCCCUGGGUCUCCAGCUCUACAACCCUCAGACAUGAACAGCAGCAGCACCGGCUCCUCUCCCUGUCUCCAGUUCCACCAACCUCAAACUACAACAGCAGUACCAGCCUCUCCCCAGGUCUCCAGAUCCACGACCCUCAAAAUACAAUGGCAAGACCGGCUCCUCCCUGGGUCUCCUGCUCCCAAACCCUAAAACUUCAAGUGACACACCGGAUCCUCCCCACAGUUAAACAGCAGCACAGGCUCUUCCCCAAAGCUCCAGAUCCACGACACUCUGACUUAAAUGCUGGUAGCACCGGCUCCUCCCUAGGUCUCCAGUUCCACGACAAUCAAACUACACAGCAGCACCGGCUCCUCCCCAGGUCUACGGCUCCACCACCCUCACACUAGACACCAAGACUACCUCCUCCCCGCGCUCCAGCUACACGACCCUUAGACUUGAACAGCAGCAGCGGCUCCUCCCUGUACCUCAAGCCCCAUGACCCUCAGACUUCAACAACAGCAACACCAGCAACCACACAGGGCUCCAGCUCCACAACCCUCAGCUUUAAACAACAGCAGCACCAGCUCCCCCCGGUGUCUCCAGCUCCACCACCCUCAUACUAGAACAGCACCAGUCCUCCCUGAGUCUCCAGCUCCAUUAUCCUCAGACUACAACGGCAACACCAGCUCCUCCCUGGAUCUCCAGCUCAACAACUCUCAGACUUGAGAGGUGGCACCGGCAACUCCCCAAGGCUCCAGCUCCACGACUCUCAGAUUUGAACAGCGGUAGCACCACCUCCUAUCCAGGUCUCCAGCUUCACGAUCCUUAAACUAGAACAGCAGCAUCGCCGCCUCCCUGGGUUUUCAGCUCCAAGAACCUAAGACACGAAUGGCAGAACUGGCUCCCCGCCAGGGCUCCAGCUCCAGGACCUACAGAUUUGAACGAUAGCACCAGCUCCUCCCAGGAUCUUCAGCUCCACGACCCUCAAACUAGAAGAGUAGCACCGGCUCCUCCCCCUGUCUCCACUUCCAUGACCCUCAAACUACAACAACAGUACCGGCCUCUCCCCAGGUCUCCAGAUCCAUAACCUUCAAAAUACAAUAGCAUGACCGGCUCCUCCCUGGUUCUCCAGCUCCCAAACCCUCAAAUUUCAAUUGACACACCGGAUCCUCCCCACAGUUAAACAGCAGCACGGGCUGUUCCCCAAAACUCCAGAUCCACGACCUUCUGACUUAAAUGGCGGUAGCAUUGGUUCCUCCCUAGGUCUCCAGUUCCAUGACCCUCAAACUCCACAGCAGCACCGGCUCCUCCCCAGGUCUGCAGCUCUACCACCCUCACACUAGACACCGAGACUACCUCCUCCCCGCGCUCCAGCUACACGACCCUCAGACUUGAACAGCAGCAGCGGCUCCUCCCUGUACCUCAAGCCCCGUGACCCUCAGACAACAGCAACACCAUCUGCCCCCCAGGGCUCCAGCUCCAGAACCCACAGAUUUAAACACCAGCACCAGCUCCUCUCUGGUUCUCCAGCUCCACAAGCCUCAGGCAUGAACAACAGCACCCGCUCCUCCCUGUGUCUCCAUAUUCACUGCCCUCACUAGAACAGCAACACCGGGUCCUCCGUGGAUCUCCAGCUCAAUGACUCUCAGACUUGAAAGGAAGCACCGGCUCCUCUGUGGGUCUCCGGAACCACGACACUCAAAACAACACGGAUCCUCCCUGGGUCUGCAGCUCCAACAACCUCAAACUAGAACAAGACCCUUCCUCCCGGGGUCGCCAGCUUCCAGACCCUCGAAUUACAACAACGUAACUCCUCCCUGGGUCAGCGGCUCCAUGACACUCAAACUAGAACAAGACCUCUCCUCCCGGGGACGCCAGCUUCCAGACCCUCUUACUACAACAACAUUGCCCCUCCCUGGGUCUGCAGCUCCACGACCGUCAAACUAGAACGAGACCUCUCCUCCCUGGGUCGCCAGGUUCCCAACCCUUGAACUUCAACGACAUUGCUCCUGCCUGGGUCUGUAGCUCCACGACCCCCAAAUUACAACAAAACUUCUCCUCCCUGGGUCGCCAGCUUCUAGACCCUUGAACUUCAACAAUAUUGCUACUGCCUGGGCCUGAAGCUCCACGACCCUCAAACUAGAACUUGACCUCUCCUUCCUGGGUCGCCACAUUCCCAAAUCUCUUACUACAACAACAUUGCCCCUCCCUGGGUCUGCAGCUCCACCAUCCUCAAACUACAAGACCUCUCCUCCCUGGGUCGCCAGCUUACAGGCCCUCGAACUACAACAACGUAGCUCCCCCCUGGGUCUGCAGCUCCACGACCCUGAAACUAGAACAUGACUUCUCCUCCCUGGGUCGACAGCUUCCAGACCCUCCUACUACAACAACAUUGCUCCUCCCUGGGUCUGCAGCUCCAUGACCCUGAAAGUAGAACAAGACUCCUCCUUCCUGGGUCGCCAGGUUCCAGACCCUCGAACUUCAACAACAUUGCUCCUGCCUGGGUCUGUAGCUCCACGACCCUCAAACUAGAACAUGACCUCUCCUCCCUGGGUCGCCAGCUUCCAGACCCUCGAACGUCAACAACAUUGCUCCUCCCUGGGUCUGCAGCUCCGUGACCCUCAAACUACAACAUAACCUCUCCUCCCUGGGUCGCCAGCUUCCCAACUCUCAAACUAAAACAACGUUGCUCCUCCUUGGGUCUGUAGCUCCACAACCCUCAUCCUAGAACAGCAGUACCAGCUCCUUCCUGGACCUCCGCUCAAUGACUCUCAGACUACAAAGGUAGCACCGGCUCCACCCCCGGCUGCAGCUCCAACACAAUCAGAUUUGAGCAGUGGCAGCACCAGCUCCUGUCUGGCUCUUCCGCUUCACUUUCCUUAAAUUAGAACAGCAGCACCAUCUUCUCCCUGGGUCUCCAGCUCCACGAUCCUCAAACUGGAACAGCAGCACCAGCUCCUGUGGGAUCUUCAGCUCCACGACCCUAAGGCAUCAGUGGCAGCACCGGCUCCUCCCGUGGGCUCCAGCUCCAGGACCCUCAGACCGGAACAAAAACACCAGCUCCUCCCCAUGCCUCCGGCUCCUUGACCCUCAUAAACCAUCCCUUCUCCUGAAAUGUAGCAGUCAGGAAAACUGCAGAGGAAGUAAAUAAAUAAAUGCUUUCCUUUCAAA